rnacentral:rRNA from 1 species
AGAGUUUGAUUCUGGCUCAGGAUGAACGCUGGCGGCGUGCCUAACACAUGCAAGUCGAACGGAGUAAUUAAGCGGAAGUUUCGGAUGGAAGCAUAGUACUUAGUGGCGGACGGGUGAGUAACGCGUGGGCAACCUGCCCUGUACCGGGGGAUAACACUUAGAAAUAGGUGCUAAUACCGCAUAAGCGCACAGCUUCGCAUGAAGGUGUGUGAAAAACUCCGGUGGUACAGGAUGGACCCGCGUCUGAUUAGCUAGUUGGUGGGGUAGAGGCCUACCAAGGCGACGAUCAGUAGCCGGCCUGAGAGGGUGACCGGCCACAUUGGGACUGAGACACGGCCCAAACUCCUACGGGAGGCAGCAGUGGGGAAUAUUGCACAAUGGGGGAAACCCUGAUGCCAGCGACGCCGCGUGAGUGAAGAAGUAUUUCGGUAUGUAAAGCUCUAUCAGCAGGGAAGAAAAUGACGGUACCUGACUAAGAAGCCCCGGCUAACUACGUGCCAGCCGCCGC